rnacentral:rRNA from 1 species
GAUGAACGCUGACAGAAUGCUUAACACAUGCAAGUCCACUUGAACUUCGGUUUGGGUGGCGGACGGGUGAGUAACGCGUAAAGAACUUGCCUCACAGAUAGGGACAACAUUUGGAAACGAAUGCUAAUACCUGAUAUUAUGAUUAUAUGGCAUCGUAUAAUUAUGAAAGCUAUAUGCGCUGUGAGAGAGCUUUGCGUCCCAUUAGCUAGUUGGAGAGGUAACGGCUCACCAAGGCGAUGAUGGGUAGCCGGCCUGAGAGGGUGAUCGGCCACAAGGGGACUGAGACACGGCCCUUACUCCUACGGGAGGCAGCAGUGGGGAAUAUUGGACAACGGACCAAGAGUCUGAUCCAGCAAUUCUGUGUGCACGAUGAAGUUUUUCGGAAUGUAAAGUGCUUUCAGUUGGGAAGAAAAAAAUGACGGUACCAACAGAAGAAGUGACGGCUAAAUACGUG